UGAGGAAUAUUGGUCAAUGGUCGCAAGACUGAACCAGCCAUGCCGCGUGCAGGAUGACGGUCCUAUGGAUUGUAAACUGCUUUUGUACGGGAAGAAACACUCCUACGUGUAGGGGCUUGACGGUACCGUAAGAAUAAGGAUCGGCUAACUCCGUGCCAGCAGCCGCGGUAAUAAUCA
rnacentral:rRNA from 1 species